rnacentral:rRNA from 1 species
UACGGAAGGCAGCAGUGGGGAAGUAUUGCACAAUGGGCGAAAGCCUGAUGCAGCUAUGCCGCGUGUAUGAAGAAGGCCUUAGGGUUGUAAAGUACUUUCAUCGGGGAGGAAAAAACAAAACUAAUAAUUUUAUUUCUUGACGUUACCCGAAAAAGAAGCACCGGCUAACUCCGUGCCAGCAGCCGCGGUAAUACGGAGGGUGCUAGCGUUAAUCAGAAUUACUGGGCGUAAAGAGCACGUAGGUGGUUUUUUUAAGUCAGAUGUGAAAUCCCUGGGCUUAACCUGGAACUGCAUUUUGAAACUGAAAUACUAGAGUAUCGUAGAGGGAGGUAGAAUUCUAGGUGUAGCGGUGAAAUGCGUAGAUAUCUGGAGGAAUACCUGUGGCGAAAGCGGCCUCCUAAACGAAUACUGACACUGAGGUGCGAAAGCGUGGGGAGCAAACAGGGAUUAGAUACC